GACGAACGCUGGCGGCAUGCUUAACACAUGCAAGUCGAACGGAAAGGCCCUGCUUUUGUGGGGUGCUCGAGUGGCGAAAGGGUGAGUAACACGUGAGUAACCUGCCCUUGACCUUGGGCUAACCUCAGGAAACUGGGGCUAAUACCGGAUAGGAGCUCCUGCUGCAUGGCGGGGGUUGGAAAGUUUCGGCGGUUGGGGAUGGACUCGCGGCCUCUCAGCUUGCUGGUGGGGUAGUGGCUUACCAAGGCUUUGACCGGUAGCCGGCCUGAGAGGGUGACCGGCCACAAUGGGAGAGAGAUAGGGCGCGGACUGCUAGGGGAGGCAGGAGUGGGGAAUAGGGCACAAUGGGCGGAGGGCUGAUGGAGCAACGCGGAGUGCGGGAUGAGGGCCUGCGGGGUGGAAACCGCUUUCGCAUGUGACGAAGCGUGAGUGACGGUAGUGGGUAAAGCAGCACCGGCUAACGACGUG
rnacentral:rRNA from 1 species